UACGUAGGGCGCAAGCGUUAUCCGGAAUUAUUGGGCGUAAAGGGCGCGUAGGCGGCUUUGCGUGUCUUUCGUGAAAUCCCUCGGCUCAACUGAGGACGUGCGGAAGAAACUGCAGGGCUGGAGUCCGGGAGAGGAGGGUGGAAUUCCCAGUGUAGCGGUGAAAUGCGUAGAUAUUGGGAGGAACACCGGUGGCGAAGGCGGCCCUCUGGACCGGUACUGACGCUGAUGCGCGAAAGCGUGGGGAGCAAACGGG
rnacentral:rRNA from 1 species